CUGUGCCGCUGGGUUUUUAUCACAAUGUAGACGUCCCCAGAGUGCUAUUCUUCUACUGACAGGGUAUUUGGAGGAGACUGAGCACAUGCUGCUGCCGCUCACUGUGCUUGUCUUAUCCAGUCCAUGAUGCUAAUUGUGUCUGCUCACCUCAGGAUGUUGAACUUAAAAGUACCUUACACAGACAAAUGAGUUAUGUGGCUUGGAUCUCUUAAUCACACAGAAACAAGCAAACCGUAAGAGGGGAGAUGAACAUUUAUCCUAAAUGGCCUGGUGAAUUUUGCAUCACUGCUGUUCCACCCACGGCACUAUAUGUCAGCUCCUCAUGAAAAUUUCCAGGCCGGCAUCUUUGAAUAGCUCCCAGGCUGCCAGCAUGAGAAGAGGCUCUUUAUAUUUUGCCUAUCAAAUCACCAGUUUGGUCUGUCUGUUUACAGAGAGAGACUUUAAGGAGAAAAAAUGGUUACUGGAGCAAGCUUCACCAUCAUAGCUGCUACCCCACCAUUCUUCAUCCAAAUCCUGAGGGAUGUCCUGACCAGACUGGGCCAGAGAGAGGGACCAGAUGAUAUUGACACCACCAGCAGCUCCAGCUGAAUGCCAACCAUCACUUGGGAUGUGUGUGAGAUUUUGUUUUCCCUCCACCCCAACAUGUCCUUUUCCUUCCUUCCCUUAUUUCUUCUUUUCAACCUUUUUCUUCUGUCUCAUUAGGGUCUGGCUUAGUCAGCCAAGACUGCAUAUUUUGAAACACUGCUGUAGGCCUGUGACCAGAGAGGCAGCUACGAGUAAUGCCCUAAACAGCCCAGUGCUGGCACAAGUUUGUCAUGUAUGGUCUCGGAGUGCCUGCUCAGACCCAGUGCCAUGCCUGUGUUUAUCCAGCAGGGAGGCUGCAAGUGAGAGUCAGCACCAGAGGCAGAUGCUGCUUUUUCUGUCUUUGCUGUUCUUUUGUCUCCCCUUUUGUCUUGUUUUGUUUUCUAGGAAACAGGAUCAGAAUUUAAUAAUGCCAGCACCAAUGACAGCUCCAGCCCAGCUCCCCUAACUUCUCUUCUCCCCAAAAAGAACAGUUAUCAAAAACCUCAAAACUGACUCGGAGACUGUCAAACAAAGGGGUUUUUCCUUCUAAAAACUCUCUCCAGUUCCCAGGGAAGGAAAGAAAGAGGGCUGUUGUAAAGUAUUAAGUCCAGGCUUUCAUGUGUACAUGUGAAAGGCUUUAGCUGUUUUUCCUUCUUUUCUAUAUCUUCAAUAAAAGGAUUUGUAAUGGUGUGUUUCCCAUGGUACUAAA